rnacentral:rRNA from 1 species
UGCCAGCAGCCGCGGUAAUACAGAGAUGGCAAGCGUUGUUCGGAAUUACUGGGCAUAAAGGGCACGUAGGCGGAUUAUUAAGUCAGGUGUGAAAUCCCUCGGCUCAACCGAGGAACUGCGCCUGAAACUGGUAGUCUUGAGGGCAGGAGGGGAGAGUGGAACUCUUGGUGGAGCGGUGAAAUGCGUAGAUACCAAGAGGAACGCCGGUGGCGAAAGCGACUCUCUGGCCUGCUUCUGACGCUGAGGUGCGAAAGCUAGGGGAGCAAACAGGAUUAGAUA